ensembl:lncRNA
UUUCGGUAAUGAAAGAUAUUUUUAUGAUUCAUUAAUAUCAUGUAUGUAAUUUAUUUUGUAAUUUGUAAUGUCAUUUCAAUAACAAUUUACAGGUUAACGGUUUUAAACAUUUCAAAUGAAGCAUCUUUCAUUUGGUCCAGUAACAAGCUAGUAGUCAGAUAGGCGAUGGUCCAGUAACGGGCUGAUAGUCAGAGAGGCGAUGGUUCGGUAACGGGCUGAUAGUCAGAGAGGCGAUGGUCCAGUAACGGGCUGAUAGUCAGAGAGGCCAUGGUUUGGUUAUGUGCUGAUAGUCAGAGAGGCGAUGGUUCAAUAACGGGCUGAUAGUCAGAGAGGCGAUGGUUCGGUAACGGGCUGAUAGUCAGAGAGGCGAUGGUUCAGUAACAAGCUGAUAGUCAGAGAGGCGAUGGUUCAAUAACGGGCUGAUAGUCAGAGAGGCCAUGGUUUGCUUAUGUGCUGAUAGUCAGAGAGGCGAUGGCUCAAUAACGGGCUGAUAGUCAGAGAGGCGAUGGUUCGGUAACAGUCAGAGUGGCGAUGGUUUCGAUAACGCCACCAGAGGUGUGAUUAGUGGCGAUGGGCCGAUGGGAGGCAGACCAGUAGAGGGCCUGUCCGGGGAAUAAACAGGCAGAUGUGACAAUGAGAGCCUGCAGCAUGUGGCAGCCUGCGUUCCUGGCAGUCCUCCCUAGCUCUCUGAUUGGUUCAGAUUGAGAAGCUCAUAGGCUAGUGUGACUGCGCCUUAGCUUCAAGGCAGCGCAAAAAACAGGAAGAUGAGGGACCAUAAUUAAUUUUACAACUAUGCAAUAAAGUUGUCAAAAAUUAUUCCACAAAAGGCACAGCAGAUGAAUGCAAGGAAGUCUUUAUUUUGUUAUCUUGAGAAAAGAGAAAGAACAUGAAAGCAUAUGGUUUCUGGUCACCAUGGAGACGUGAAUAUAUGAAGGAGGCAGGAAAUAGUUGUCGAGACGAAGCCUAGAAAACAAACAAACAAUCAGUAAUUAUGUUUGAAAACGAAUGCUUGUUAUUAUCUCUUAUAUAUUGUGUGUGUGUGUGUGCGUAUGUGUGUGUGUGUGUGUGUGUGUGUGUGUGUGUGUGUUUGUGUGUUUGUGUGUUAGUUUACCUCUAGGGCUCCGCUGUUGAAAGUGGACUUCUAGGAUCUAAUUAGUUGUUUUUAUACACUUCGUAAUGGCUUCAACUUGAGGUCUGUAAAGAUAAGAUAUAAUUACAGAUACAUUUAUGGUUUCAUUAGAUCUCCUCAGUAGUUCUUGCAGAGAUAGAAACAUUAUGAAUGGUAGAAUAUAGAAUGAUAGAUAAGAAAGGAGUGAGACUGGGGACUCUUACACUUUAAGUUCAUCUGUCAAUCUGUGAAUGAAAAAGAGUUUACAAUUUUAAGAUUUCCUUGAUACUUCUUGAUUUACGCUACCAUAAAAGUCAUCUAAUUUCUUUGCAGUCGCAAGGAUUAUGAUCAUAUUGCUUCAGCAGUGGUAGCUUAAGUAGAGGAAGGUCUGCUUAAUAUUUUUUUGGAGAUUACUUGGUAAAGAAUACUUACAUCGCUUCAGCUGAUGCAAUUAGUUUAGCCCCCUCCUCACUGUUAAGGACAAAGAGACGUACCAAUGAUCAUUUAUGAAUUAUUAUUAUUAACUGAUUGAUUAAUAAUGUUAUUACUAAAUUAAUCACUUAAUCAACUUUUAGGACUGAUUCCAAAAAGUCAAUGAGGGAUUGAAAAUGGAAGAGAGAGAUGGAUGGGUUCAGGAGAGAGGAAGAUUUAUGUAAAAGUCCUGGUCUGAAUCCACAAAGAAUUAUCUCUUUUCAAUAAACAUACUAGUCAAGUAUUUUUAAACCCAGCAAAUAACCACAAAGCAGGGAGGGCAUACUUACUUGUUUUGAAGCUUCUUAAUUGCUUCACCUAGUGCCUUCAUUUCGUCACUGUACAGGGAAAAGAGAGAGAGAUGCCAGUUAUUUUAAAUCAAUUAAAGCUAGGCUAGGCCCUAUGGAGGAACCAUCUUUAUUCGGCUACAUAUCACGCCUCGUGCCCACUACCUCCGUCCGUUGACUGAUCCCCAUUGACUUUGAAUGGGGACGGACGCGCAAUGCAUUGUGGAUCCAACUUUUUCGGCAGCGACAGAACCGUCAUCCAAUCAGAUCGCGUAUGCAAAUUUAAGCACUGUGACGCGACUCGGGCUCUGACGAUACUGGAAAGCGGGUCAUCUUGCAUCGCAACAAGCAGGAAGAAGCGGGAAGAACCCGGCGAAGCGAUUUGAUUGGCUGACGGAUGCCUCUGCAAAAACUACUCCCCCAUCCGUCAGCCACGCCUUCCCACGUCCGUUGACUGACGGUGCAGUGGGCAUGUAGCGUCAGACCCCUGGCCUCAGCCAUCCCUCAUAGGCCACGCUCCCAAAACACACGGUUAGCCUGCUAGCUUUAGCACUGACUCUCCAGACCAGUCUGGGAGUGCUGGCGCGAAGGAGGGGUUCGGUCGAGAGGUAGUCUUACAAAUCCGACUUUAGGUGAAUGUCCUGUUCCAUUAAUCCGUAAAAAAUAACCUUUUUUGAACCCCAGAAAAUCCCUCUGGGCCUUAGGUGUAGCCUCACGUCUUUGUCCUCAUUGAGUACGCUAGUGAUCCGUCAGCGCGUGCAACAGCCGACACAAACUCUACCAGUGCUAGUCAAUCUAUUCCAAUAGGACAAAAAAAACUAAAACAUCUGUCUGAACAGCCAUUAUUUUUGAAAAAAAUGUUGGUAUGGAGUAUUAACCGGCCACUUUAAGAAUCCACUUACUAUAAUCCCUUCUGAGUAGAAUACACGAGAUUAGGAGGGAGGAUCCUUACCUGUUUUCAACUUUCUUCAUUGCUUGUCCCAGUGCCAUCAUCAAAUCACUUUACAGGAAAAAGGGAUUUGUUAAGGACUUCAUUAAAUAAAAAAUUAACAAGGGGAUUAAUGAAUCAAUGAAUCAUUAAACUAAUCAAUGAUUUGCUAUUGAUUCAGUGAGAGGUAGAUCACGGAAGAGAGAAAUAGAGUGAUUCAGGAGACAGGUGAUGCUUACCUCUGUUCAAUAUCAUCAAGAUCUUUAGCAAUCUCUGCCGCAUCAUCACUGUGAAAGCAAAAAAUAGCGAUAUCAUUGAUAUGUAAUACAACCAUUAAUGUAUUAACAACUGGUGGUUAACUGAUCCGUGAAUUGCUAACCCUUUUAAUUAGGCAUGGGCAAAACUAUUCUAUUCCAGGAAUCAGUUUGUUAAGUCAUAUGGUCUAUGGGGUACGCCCUCAAAUGGAGCCUUUUAAAACACCAGAAGAUCUCAGACGGUGACGGUGCUCGGAAACAGCACAUUUCUGAAGCUCUUUUCUUUUGUAUCUUUAAUUUAUGUGACAAUAUUUUUGUUUUAUGUAAAAAAAGUUCAAUUGUUUCGGGAAUCAGUUCUCGUCGUUCACCUUCGGGAUUCGUUCAUUCUGACCUAAUCGUUUGCGAAUCGCCCAAGCCUACUUUUAAUGAAUGAACUAUUAGGACUGACUACAGGGUCACAACCAGUGAGAGGCACCGCAGUUUAAAGAGAGAGGGUUUCAGGAGAUGCUUACCUCGCUAGAAUUGAUUCAACUAGAGAAUUGACUCCUUUAGCUGUAACAAAAAGAGGUUUCAUAGAUGAGGAGGAUGACAGAUAUUCAGAUGUUUACAUUGAAAUCCUUGAUACAUGCAUUAUUCACCAUAAAAAGGAAUAUAUGGGGGCAAGAUAGUCAAGUGACUAGGCUGGGUGGGAAUAUCCACUAAUUUAACUAUGCAUAAAGGUAACACAUAACAUUUAACUAAUGUAAAGGUUAUUAUGCUGUCCAGCCAAUGUUGAACAAAUUAAACCUUCAAAAAAUUGUAUUCCCAAGUAAUUUUGAGACAUUUGGUCUCUACCCUGCCUGACCUGACCGUACAUCACUGCAGGUUCAACCCCCAACCACCGCAGCCUGUCCCACUUUAGGCAUCCUGGAGCAAGAUGCCUAAGCCUACCUGCUCUUUCAUCACAUGUUUGAAUUUGCUGCAAAAUAAAAGCACCUGCUAAAUCGAGGUACAGAAUAUGUGUGUUGUACGACUACUCACCAGAUACUGUGUCCAGAUAAAGCCCAAUAGCCAGAACUUGAAGAAUGAAAGAAAAAAAGAAAUGAUCAAUGUGUACCAUCAAACAUCAGUGGAGUGUCUCUAGAAGAAAGCUUUUCUUACGGAUUACAGUUCGGUUUUAAAUCAACAUUAAAACAAAUUAAACAGAUGAUAUUAGAUUAAUUAAGCAAGUACUUACAGGCAAUCACUGAUAACUUGAAGGAAGCCAUUUUUUGCAGGCAAUCACUGAUAACUUGAAGGAAGCCAUUUUUUGCAGGUAUUCAGCUAGAUGCAAGGAUACAAUGUCUUCAGAAUGUGUUCUCUAUCUGGACUGGGACUGCUCCUUUUAUAGCAUCUCUCAACAUACCAAAA